UACGAGGGGGGCAAGCGUUGUUCGGAAUUAUUGGGCGUAAAGGGCGCGUAGGCGGCGCGGUAUGUCUCUUGUGAAAUCUCCAGGCUCAACUUGGAGUCUGCAAGGGAAGCUGCCGUGCUUGAGUACUGGAGAGGUGAGUGGAAUUCCCGGUGUAGCGGUGAAAUGCGUAGAUAUUAGGAGGAACACCGGUGGCGAAGGCGCCACUCUGGGCCGAAACUGACGCUGAGGAGCGAAAGCGUGGGUAGCAAACAGG
rnacentral:rRNA from 1 species